rnacentral:rRNA from 1 species
GACAGAGGGUGCAAACGUUGUUCGGAAUUACUGGGCGUAAAGCGCGUGUAGGCGGCCAACUAAGUCGGGCGUGAAAUCCCACGGCUCAACCGUGGAAGUGCACUCGAAACUGGAUGGCUAGAGUCCUGGAGAGGAAGGUGGAAUGCUUGGUGUAGAGGUGAAAUUCGUAGAUAUCAAGCGGAACACCGGUGGCGAAGGCGGCCUUCUGGACAGUGACUGACGCUGAGACGCGAAAAGCGUGGGGAGCAACAGGG